rnacentral:piRNA from 1 species
UAUUAGUGCUCUGUUACGGAAAGUUCGCU